rnacentral:rRNA from 1 species
UGGCCCUUAUAGUGGGGCUACACACGUCAUACAAUGGCCGGUACAGAGGGUAGCCAACCCGCGAGGGGGAGCCAAUACCCACCAAAGCCGGUCGUAGUCCGGAUCGCAGUCUGCAACUCGACUGCGUGAAGUCGGAAUCGCUAGUAAUCGCGGAUCAGCAUGUCACGGUGAAUACGUUCCCGGGUCUU